rnacentral:rRNA from 1 species
GACAGAGGGUGCAAGCGUUGUUCGGAAUUACUGGGCGUAAAGGGCGUGUAGGCGGCGAAGUGUGUCCGGCGUGAAAUACCUCGGCUUAACCGGGGAAGUGCACUGGAUACUACUUUGCUUGAGUGCGAGAGGGGGUGGCGGAAUUCUCAGUGUAGAGGUGAAAUUCGUAGAUACUGGGAGGAACACCGGAGGCGAAGGCGGCCACCUGGAUCGCAACUGACGCUGAUACGCGAAAGCGUGGGGAG